GGGUAGUUUGACUGGGGCGGUCUCCUCCCAAAGAGUAACGGAGGAGCACGAAGGUUAGCUAAUCACGGUCGGACAUCGUGAGGUUAGUGCAAAGGCAUAAGCUAGCUUGACUGCGAGAGUGACGGCUCGAGCAGGUACGAAAGUAGGUCUUAGUGAUCCGGUGGUUCUGAAUGGAAGGGCCAUCGCUCAACGGAUAAAAGGUACUCCGGGGAUAACAGGCUGAUACCGCCCAAGAGUUCAUAUCGACGGCGGUGUUUGGCACCUCGAUGUCGGCUCAUCACAUCCUGGGGCUGAAGUAGGUCCCAAGGGUAUGGCUGUUCGCCAUUUAAAGUGGUACGCGAGCUGGGUUUAGAACGUCGUGAGACAGUUCGGUCCCUAUCUGCCGUGGGCGUUGGAAGAUUGAGAGGGGCUGCUCCUAGUACGAGAGGACCGGAGUGGACGAAUCACUGGUGUUCGGGUUGUCAUGCCAAUGGCAUUGCCCGGUAG
rnacentral:rRNA from 1 species